GAAUGGGAUACGUCAGUGUGCAUGGUAAUGUAAGAAAUUUCCGGGGUCUGUGAAAAUAGGGGAAUCGGUGGUGGAGUUUCAGGCUUCUGAAGCCUACGAUGUGCGGGCGGACCUAGUUUCUUGCAGGGGAGCUAAGGGUCAGAUCUUUAUCUGUUGAGGUAAAGGAGAUCUGUGGGUUUUACAAGUAUAAGUAUUAAUACGGGGUUAGGGGGGUCUGCAAUUGCUAGGGAAAGUGGGUGUUUCCCCUUGUACAGGUGUUGAGUGAAGUUUGUGACUAUUACAGAUGUUCUGAAGUUUAAUUAGCCCUUAAGUCCUCUUCUCGCCUACCUAGUUAUAGCAAGGUAGCGAGACGCUUCCCAGAUACCGAUAGAUGGCAGCACAGGACUCUUGCAAAACAGCCUAGACAGCAGAUUUGGGGCUUCUUGAAGGAGCCAACCGGGAAGAGGGUCGGGAUCCAACCUACUCAAGUUCUGAGGUUCUGAAAGUCUCAGAUUCUUUUGGUUCUGUGACUUUCUAUGAGUAUUUAACUUAAACUGCUGGUCUAAGCGUCAAUAGUGUGCCAGGCGCAAAAAAGAAAGAAAAAGGCAUUUCUCUGCCCUUAAGGAAUUUUUUGUUUAGACAGAACGUUAUCUAUAGAUAAAGCCGGAAGGGUUUUAUGUGUGAAAAAAGCAUAGGGUUUGAAAUCACCUGUGUUGCUUUCCGAACUUUGGGUAUUUGCUUGUGGGUAGAUUAAAUUUUUUUUAAUAAACUCUAAAUUUUAGAACAAUUUUAGAUUUACAGAAAAUUUGUGAAGAAAGCAUAGAGUUUCCAUAUACACUCCAAUUCAGUUUCCCCUAUUAUAGGUUCAUUUGUCAUAAUUAAUGAACCAAGCCGAGUGCGGUUGUGCACUACUCUAAUAACAGUGACUCUGGAGGCUGGAGGCAGAAAGAUCACAAGUUCUAUGGAAGCCUGAAUAACUUUAGUGAGCCCCUCAGUAACUGUUAUGGUUUGGAUAUUAGGGGUCUCCCUGGAAGCUCAGUAUUAAUGCAGGAAUGUUCUUAGGUGAAAUGACUGAAUUGUGAGAGCUGUAACCUUUUCAGUUCAUCCCAGUUUGAAUAGAUCAACUGGGUGCUAACUGUAGCCAGGUGGAGGAGGUGGGUCGUUGGUAGCAUGUGGUGGAAGGGUUCAUCUUCCUUGCAGCGCCUUCUCUGCUUCCUGGCCAUCAUGAACAGAGCAGUGCUCCACCAUUAAGCCUUUCUGCCUCAUCUUGGGCCUAGAGCGAGGUAGUCAAGGACAUGAACUAACCCUCUGAAACUGUGAGCCAAAAUAUACUUUUCUUCUUCUAAAUAGUAUUACCUUUAAGUCUAUAUUUUAUUAAAAUUUCCUUUGUUUUGCUGGGUACAGUGGCACAGGCCUGUAAUCCCAUGGCUUGGGAGGCUAAGUCAGGAGGAUAUUGAGUUCAAAACGAGCCUGAGUAGCUUAGUGAGGCUCUAAGCAACUCAGCAAGACCCUGUCUCUAAAAUUAAAAAUAUAUGUAUAAAAAAAGACCUGGGGAUAUGGCUCAGUGGUUAAAAAAAAAAGAAUUUCCUUUAUUUUUACUGUAUGUCCUUUUUCUUUGCCAGGAUCCCACCCAGGCUAGCAAACAUUACAGUAUGUGGCUAUCAUGUCUCCUUAGUCACAGUCUCUCAGACUUCCUUGGUUUUGAUGACCUUGAGAAUUUUGAUGAGUACUGGUCAAGAAUUUUGUAGAUGGUCCUUCAAUGGGCAUUUGUCUGUUUUUCUCAUGAUUAUGUUACAGAGCUGGGACCUUCUCAGAAACUGAGGCAGUGCAAAGGCCCCCACUUCAACCUGUAAUUCUUUGGAUCAAAUCAGAAAGAUGUCAAACAUAUUGCUCAGAGUAAGUCAUAUGUUUAUUAGAAGGGAUAGGAAAGGGGAAAGGGGUACACUUUCAAGGAUGAGUGUGGAUUCUCUGAGAGAGGAGAGGAACAAAGUGCCUCUCCUGCCCUCCAGUUUUUUGAGGGUCCCAAGAAGUUUCUAGACACUCCCACACAGGUUCACCUCUUGAUUUUUGACUGACAGCAAGAUGACAUCACACUUUUAAGUCCCUACUGCCAUGACCUUUCUAGGUCACUUUGGUUCAUGCUGACUGGUUCUAAUUGGAACCUGUUCGUAGGGGAGGAAUUAUCCUUAUCUCCCUGAAUUCAGGUGUUUGGUCUGUGAAAGGGUCAUAAAAGUCCCCCUCCACCCUUUAGGGUAACUUGUGUUCUUAUAGACAUUAGGUUUUUUUUUUUUUUUUUUAGUCCUUUAAUUUUUUUAUUGUCGUUGAUGAACCUUUAUUUUAUUCAUUUAUUUAUAUGUGAUGCUGAGAAUCAAACCAAGUGCCGCACAAAUGUGAGGCAAGUGAUCUAUCACUGAGCCACAACCCCAGCCCCCUUAUAGACAUUAUUUCAGGCCUGUAUUUCUCUUACAGAUAACAAGUAGUUUGCUGAGGAAUGUGCCAUAUCCUGUUCACUUAAACCAGGCAGAGCUGCAGAUAAAUUGCUUCUUGGAAAAGAAAGCAUGGGGAUGUCAGCACAGUAGGCUCAUUUUAUAGAAUUAUUCACUUAACUUCAUGUUCCCACCACUCAGAUCUGUCUGUCCCAUAUCAAUUAGACUGGGGUUAUGAGUUUUGUGGAGACCACAAAGGUAAAAGUAUUACUUUUAUUACAUCAUCACAUCAUGUCACAUCAUAGAGGUAAAGUGCCAGUGUCUGUGGUGUAUAUAUGGUAUAUUUGGAAACACAGACAAUAUACUUUGUGUUGCAAUCUUUUUUAUUUUGGAACAAAAAUUUAAGGGUGUAGUUUUAAAAAAUCUCUUAAUUAGUUAUCUUGUAUAUUCAAAUAUAUAUUUAUAACAUAAGCCGCACUUUUUUUUUUUUUUUUUUUUUUGGUGGUGGUACUGGGGAUCAAACCUAGGGGUGCUUUACCACUGGGAUACAUUCCCUAACCUUUUUUAUUUUUUCUAUUUUGAUACAGGGUCUUGCUAAAUUGCUGAAGCUGAUCUUGAACUUUAAUCCUCCUGCCUCAUCCUGUUGAGUUGCUAGAAUUACAAACAUGCACCAUCUGGCCCAGCACAAUUUCUUUUUCAUAAUAUUUUCAAAAUUGUAAUUGACACAUAAUCAAUUUCUUUCUUCCUUCCUUCUUCUUUCCUUCCUUCCUUCCUUUCUUUCCUUCUUUCCUUCCUCCUCCCUUCCUUUCUUUCUUUCUAUGUGUGGCACUUGAAAUUGAACCACCCAGGGUCUCAUAUGUGCUAGGCAAAGGCUCUACCAUUGAGCUACAUCCCCAGCCCUUUAUAUUUUAUUUUGAAACAGGGACUUGCUAAAUUGCUCAGGCUGGUCUUGAAUUUUCAAUCCUCCUGCCUCAGCCUCCCUAAUCUCAGGGAUUAUAGACAAGUUGCCACCAUAUCCAGAGAAGAAUAAGAAGAAGGAGAAGAAAUAUACUAGGCAUACAGAAAGUUAUAAAGAAUAGCCGAGGGGCUGGGGUUAUGGCUCAUCAGUAGAGUACUCACCUAGCAUGUGCCAGGCCCUGGGUUUGAUCCUUGGCACCACGUAAAAAUAAAUAAAAUAAAGGUAUCGUGUCUAACUACAACUAAAAAAUAAAUAUUAAAACAAAAAAGAAUAGCCAAGCAUUGUAGUGCCCACCUAUAAUCCUAGUGAUGUGGGAGGCUAUGGCAGAAGGGUCCCAAAUUUGAGGCCAGCUACAGCCAUUUUGCAAAAACAACAACCACAAAAAAUUAUAAAGAAUACUAAAAUUUAAAAAAAACAAGAAAAAAAAAUUUAUCACAGAUUUAUCAAAUCUUAGUUUCUAAAUUUCUUUUCAUUUUUUUGUAGUUAUAGAUGGACAGAAUGCUUUUAUUUUGUUUAUGCAGUGCUAAGGAUCAAGCCCAGUGCCUCACAUAUGCCAGACUAGUGUUCUGCCACUGAGUUAUAGCCCCAGCCCAGAUCUUAGUAUUUUAUCACAUUUGCUUUAAAUUCUUUUUUUUUUUAAGAUAGAGAGAGGAGAGAGAGAGAGAAUUUUUUUAAUAUUUAUUUUUUAGUUUUCAGCGGACACAACAUCUUUGUUUGUAUGUGGUGCUGAGAAUCGAACCUGGGCCGCACGCAUGCCAGGCGUGCACGCUACCGCUUGAGCCACAUCCCCAGCCCAACUUUAAAUUCUCUUUUAUUUAUUUAUUUAUUUAUUUUGAGAUUGAACACUACUGUUUUUUUUUAUUGGUUGUUCAAAACAUUACAAAGCUCUUGACAUAUUUCAUACAUUAGAUUCAAGUGGGUUAUGAACUCCCAUUUUACAGCAGAUGGGGUAGAGAGAGAAGAUGGGAGGAGAGGGGAGGGGGUAUAGUAAAGGAUAGGAAAGGUAGCAGAAUACAACAGUUACUAAUAUGGCAUUAUGUAAAAAUGUGGAUGUGUAACCGAUGUGAUUCUGCAAUUUGUAUUUAAAUUCUCUUUUAAAGAAAUCAGCGAAGCUAGGAGCUUUGGCCUUUGCCUGUAGCCCCAGCAACUCCACAGGCCGAGGCAAGAGGGUGGCAAGUUCCAGGCCAGCCUAAGCAAUUUAGAAAGCCCCUCAUAAACUUAUCGAGACCCUGCUCAAACAAAAAAAUAAAAAGUGUUGGUGAUGUAGCUCAGUGGUAAAGUGCCCCUGGGUUCAAUCCCCAGAACUACAGAAAAAUGGAUAAAUAAAUAAAUAAGAUUAAAGAAAUUAGUAUUUCAGAUCAAGUUAAACCCUUUAAGUACUCCUCCCUGGUCUCUUUCCUAUCAUUUUUCACCUUCUGUCUGAGAAAUAACUACUAUCCCAAAUUGGUAUUUAUUUUGUUUAUGUACUUAAACAAUUUUAUUGCUUAAUAUACACAUAAGUCUAUUGAAACAUAGCCCCCCUUUGAAAUUAAAAUCUCCAAAUUGUUUUAACUUCUGAACUUCCUCAUACUGAGAAUGGAUGUUGAGGGAGGCUGGCCUUAAGGGGCACCUGGGAACCUGAGAGAGUGACACAUUUCCUAGCUAAAUCUAUACAUGUAUGUUUCCUACCUUUUGUCCCACUGUGCCCCUGAGUCUGAUAAGACAGAGAAUUGAAAAAGGGAAAAGUCUCUUUUAUAUUUCUUGAAGCCAGCUUUUUUUUUCCCCUUGCCAAAACUGCCUCCUGAGUUUUUAGUGGAGUAGAACAAGGAGUCAAAUCUCUUGCCCCCUCUUUCACAUUGGGCAUAAACCUGUUGACAGAAUUGCUGAGUCACAGGGCAUGUGUAAGCUCAGCUUCAGUAGAUGUUGUAUUGUAGGGACAGAGGAGGCAAGGCGCUGAAGAUAGCAGGAAACAGUUUUAUUUGGCUGCAGCCAGGCUCAGAGGGCACAGCUUUUGCUGUAAUCAAUUAAUCUCCUGAACCCUGAGUUCAGGUAGUUUCAGAGUUUUAUACCCAGCAUGUAAGGGGAGGGGCUCAGAAGUUCACAUAAAAGCAGCUUUUUUUUUUUUUUUCCCACUGUUUUGGGCAAGUUAACCCUUCAAGGACAACAUCUAAGAAAGGGAGAGCUUCCUCCCCUUUCUUUCCUCCCCCUGCCCAUUGUUACCAUGGAGCUCAGUUGGUAACUUACCUUUAAAAUGUAGACAUCUUUGUGAAGUCCCAGCUCAAGGCCAGAGGCCUUGUUUGCACAUUUCUACAAACGACUAUACUGGAUAUAUUUGUGAAAAACUAGUAAGGGGAUGUCCAGCACCUGGAGUUCUGGUAUCUUCCCUGCCAAUGGCCAAGUAAAACUGGGCGACAUGAAAAUAGGAAGUUUAUCUACAUUGAACUCUUUUGCAUAGACUCUUUUGCUGACAUUCCUAAAAUCAGACAUGGUGAAGAUUUCUAGAGAAGCUCAGUUAAGACUUUUCUGUGGAGAAAGGGGGUGCCACUUCAGUUGCCCACAUAUUUUCUGAAGAGAUUGUAAUAGUUCCAACUCCUAUAGCAAUAUAUAAGAGGUCUAGAUACUGCACAUCCUUGCAAACUAUUUUUUAACUUUUUUGGGGAGGUGGGGUUCAAUGGGGAUUGAACCCAGGGCCUUGCACUGUAGUGGCACUCCCUCCUCCACAGAAAAAUCUUAAUUAAGCUUCUCUAGGGACCCUCACCAAAUCUAUUCUUAGACUAUCAGCAAGAAUUUCUGCAAAAAUUUCUGCAAAAAAAGUUUUCAGGUGGGAAGUGUGUUUCCAGUAGACUGUGAUAAGGCAGUCUAGUCCAGCCAGGAGCUUUCACAAAGGCAUUCGCAUUUCAAAGGAUAGAAGUUAGAUCCUAGGGAUCUAACUUUACAGUCCACAAGAUAGGAGUAAAUGGUACAAAUCAGGUUCCUUGGAAACCAGCUUGGUGGUAGUGUGUGUGUGUGUGUGGGGGGGGGAACCUCUUCCUUUCCUAGGCACUGGUUUUUACAGAGGGUGUCCUUGAUUUAUUUUCCAGGCCUGGGUUGAUUGCCCAGAAUAGUAGGAAAAAACUACUUUUAUGUGGACUUCUGCAGAUUGUGAGCCUCUGAGCUCUUUCUUCCCCUACACACUGGGUAUAAAGUUCUAAGCAUUUCUGAACUCAGGGUUCAGAGGGACAAACUGGUUUAGGCAAAAGCCAUCUCUGGACCUGGCUACAGCCAAUAAACCUGCUUCCUGCUAAUUCCUAGGUGUCCAGCUUUGUCUGUCCUAUAACAGCAAUGCUAGGCAAGCGCUCUAUAAUUGAUCUAUAUCCUCAGCCUACAUCCUUGAAAACUCUGAUGAUGAUCUUUUUAAUUUCAGUUAUUUUGAUGAAUCUCAGUGAGGCAUUAAUUGUAUUUCUGUGAUUUCUACUGAAGUCAAGCACUUUUUUUUUUUUAAUCAGUGUCAAUUGGUUAUCUUGUGUUAUAUGUCAUGUUAUCUUCUGUGAGAAACAGAAAUUCUGGUGGUCCAUUUUCAGAAUAUAGUAUUUAGCCUUAACUGGGAUGUAACAUCCAAUUGAAACUGGUCUUGAAAAUCAGGAUAAGGUCCUUAACCCCCCUCCCACCCCUCCCACAACACACACACACACACACACACACACACUGACGAUUAAACACCUGAGAAAUGCUAAGGCAAGAGCAAAAAGUUUUGUGUAAAGGAUAAGAGAGAGAGAGAGAGAUAUUCCUCCAGAGAGGAGAGAGUCCAGAGCUGGUGCCCAAGGAAGUAGGGGUGUCUUGCCCCUUUUAUAGAUUUCAGGUUUCCUUUCUCCUCAUGCUUCCUCCUCACAUCCUGCCUACGUGACCAAAAGGGCAGGAAGAGAGUUAUCUGGGGAGUGAUUGCUUGUGCUGGAAAACGUGAUCCUUCACCUUCCCCAGAGGUUGUUAGCAACCAGAUGAUGGGGAGUGCUAUCUACUCAUUAACUUUUUCUUGGUACCUGUCCUUUGCAGCUAUCUGUUCAUUGUCCUGCUCUCACAAUCAUAGUCAUGUUAACUAUACCCCUUUGCCCUCCCCAAUUUUAAAAUUAGCCCAUUGCAUAGAUUGUUACCCCAAGCUCUUCCUAUCAGAGCAUGGGACAGUGCUGCCUUAGGGAUAAAAAUAGGUGGACUGUCCACCAAAGUGUACUUCCUUUCAGACUUUGUUUAGUAGCACACCUUCUGCAGAAGGUGUUUGCCUUGCCAAGGUUGUUGUUGUUGUUAUUCUUCUUCUUUUUUAAUUAGGUAUAUAUGACAGCAGAAUGCAUUUUGAUUUCAUUGUAUACAAUUGCAGCACAACUGUACAUUUCUAUGGUUGUAUACUAUGUAGCUGGUCAUACCAUAUGUGCAGUCAUACAUUGUACCUAGGGUAAUAAUGUCCAUCUCAUUCCACCAUCUUUCCUACCUCCAUUUCCCCCCACCCCUACCUCCCCUUUGCCCCAUCAAAGUUCCUCCAUUUUUCCCAUCCCCCCCCAGAGAGAACAUUUUGCCAAGGUACUUCUGAGCAUGUGUUUGAUUUCUUGCAGUACCCAGUAUUUCUAACAAUUUUGGCGUCCAACAUGGGGCUCCAUACAUUGCCUAGGGGAUUGUGAGUACUCCCUCUUUAGAGGACAAACCUGCUAGCUUGUUGUGGUGGCCUUGGAGUGGGGGAGGAAACCUGCAAUCCCUGAGGCUGACAACAGACCCCAAAUUGAAAGUGGAUCAGCAACCCAGGGAAAGAGCCUAAGGAAGCACCACGGUGACUAGGUAACCCCGUGCACAGACCAAGGUAGAAAAAUCUAUUCUUGAGAAAGACGUGGUGGUCAGGACAUCUUGGAGGUUGAGAGGGUGUUGCAAGAAACUUCCAGUGGGGGGUUCAGCCCCCCCACCAAAAAAAAAUAAAAAACCUCUAAAACUGUAGUGUAGAAAAAGAGAAUGCUGGCAAGGGAAAAGACACCCAAAUUUCCCCAGAUGCCCCUUUGGGUCUUAUGUUAAAAUAUUGGAAAGAUAGUCCUAGGACAAAAGGGAAGAAGAAACCAAAGAUGAUAAAAUACUGUUGUUUUUAUUUGGACUCAUUAAGCAUGUAAGGAGUUUGGGGUAUACAAUAAAUCUCCAGAAAAAAAUUCUAGGCCUAGGGACAGGGAGGGAAAAUGAAAAGCACAGGCCCAUCCUAUGUCUGAGUCAUACUGUAAAAAGCUGUAACGGGCUGUAUUUUAAUUUCUAAAGGGUUAAAUCUCACCUGUAAGGAUUUAAUACCUGGUAAACAGCUACCAAAUCUUUGUUUCAUCUCAGUUUUAUGUACACUUCAACAUACCUGUGUUAUUGUAUGUCAUGUUUAUAUACAUGCUUGUGUCUAUAUCUUGUACAUGGUAUCAAAAUUGGUUUAUAGAUAAAUGAGUUCUCAUAAAUUUAAUACAUGGAUCCAAGUCCCUUUCAGUUUAUGUGACUUAAAUAAAACUAACAAAUAAGAGUCAAUUUAAAUUGGUAAGAGUAAAGAUGCUAUUGAAAUCACUAAUCCACAUAUUUUUCUAGGUGGCAAACCAACCAAAGUGUUGGUUUCUAUAAAAUGUUUAAAGUGCAAUGUCUGUUGCUUCUAAGGAUUUUUCUUUGGCAGGAAUAAAUCUAGUUAAAUUAUUAACUAGGCUUGUUUGAUAGCUUGGUUUUCAUGGGUAACCUAAGAUAGAAAUGGGUAAAUUGGGUUUUUAAAAAUAUUUAUUUUUUAGGUGUAGUUGGACACAAUACCUUUAUUUAAUUUAUUUAUUUUUAUGUGGUGCUGAGGAUCGAACCCAAGGCCCUGAAUGUGCUAGGCAAGUGCUCUACCACUGAGCUACAACCCAAGCCCUGGUAAAUUAGUUUUUGUGUGUGUGUGUGUAUGUGUAUGUGGUGCUGGGGAUUGAAUCCAGGGCCUUGUGCAAGCGAGGCAAGUGCUCUACCAACUGAGCUAUAUCCCCAGCCCCCUUAGUUUUUAACAUAAAUAGAAUUAAUCUUCAGAAAUGUGUUAGAAGAGACAUCUGAGCCAGGAGUGGUGUCGCAUGCCUGUAAUCCCAGCAGCUUGGGAAGCUAAGGCAAGAGGAUCACACGUUCAAAACCAGCCUCAGCAACAGCAAGGUGCUUAGCAACUCGUUGAGACCCUGUCGCUAAAUAAAAUUCAAAAUAGGGUUGG
rnacentral:lncRNA from 1 species